AGGGUUUGAUCAUGGCUCAGAUUGAACGCUGGCGGAAUGCUUUACACAUGCAAGUCGAACGGCAGCACGGACUUCGGUCUGGUGGCGAGUGGCGAACGGGUGAGUAAUAUAUCGGAACGUAUCCAAUAAUGGGGGAUAACUAAUCGAAAGGUUGGCUAAUACCGCAUACGCCCUACGGGGGAAAGCUAGGGACCUUCGGGCCUGGCGUUAAUGGAGCGGCCGAUAUCUGAUUAGCUAGUUGGUGAGGUAAAGGCUCACCAAGGCGACGAUCAGUAGCUGGUCUGAGAGGACGACCAGCCACACUGGAACUGAGACACGGUCCAGACUCCUACGGGAGGCAGCAGUGGGGAAUUUUGGACAAUGGGCGAAAGCCUGAUCCAGCCAUUCCGCGUGAGUGAAGAAGGCCUUCGGGUUGUAAAGCUCUUUCGCAAGGGAAGAAAGAUUACUCUCUAACAUAGAGUAAUUAUGACGGUACCUUGAUAAGAAGCACCGGCUAACUACGUGCCAGCAGCCGCGGUAA
rnacentral:rRNA from 1 species